GAAAUGCGAUACGUAAUGUGAAUUGCAGAAUUCCGUGAAUCAUCGAAUCUUUGAACGCACAUUGCGCCCCUUGGUAUUCCGGGGGGCAUGCCUGUUUGAGCGUCAUUUCCCUCUCAAACAUUUAAUUAUGUUUGGUAGUGAGCUAUACUCAGUUUGAGUUUGCUUGAAAUUGGGAGGCCAUAGGUUGAGCUUAGCGUAGCCUAGCCACUAAAGUCGUAUUAGGUCUUACCGACUCGGCGGAAAGUGGAGAGGAAUUUGCUUCGAGCUGUAAGCCUGGCUUGACAAAAUUCUCAAAGUUUGACCUCAAAUCAGGUAGGAUUACCCGCUGAACUUAA
rnacentral:misc_RNA from 1 species